AGAGUUUGAUCAUGGCUCAGGACGAACGCUGGCGGCGUGCCUAACACAUGCAAGUCGAGCGGGAACCUCAGGAGGGGUAACCCUUCUGAGGGGAGAGCGGCGAACGGGUGAGUAACACGUGGGCAACCUGCCCCGGACACCGGGAUAACCCAGGGAAACCUGAGCUAAUACCGGAUACUCCGGCGUGAUCGCAUGGUCGCGUCGGGAAAGCUCCGACGGUCCGGGAUGGGCCCGCGGCCUAUCAGCUUGUUGGUGGGGUAACGGCCCACCAAGGCGACGACGGGUAGCUGGCCUGAGAGGACGGCCAGCCACACUGGGACUGAGACACGGCCCAGACUCCUACGGGAGGCAGCAGUGGGGGAUCUUGCGCUAAUGCGCGAAAGCGUGACGCAGCGACGCCGCGUGGGGGAUGAAGGCCUUCGGGUUGUAAACCCCUUUCGGCAGGGACGAAGGGAAACUGACGGUACCUGCAGAAGAAGUCCCGGCUAACUACGUGCCAGCAGCCGCGGUA
rnacentral:rRNA from 1 species